AUACGUAGGGGGCGAGCGUUGUCCGGAAUGAUUGGGCGUAAAGGGCGCGUAGGCGGCUUGUUAAGUCUGGAGUGGAAGUCCUCUUUUCAAGGGAGGAAUUGCUUUGGAAACUGGCGGGCUUGAGUGCAGGAGAGGUUAUCGGAAUUCCCGGUGUAGCGGUGAAAUGCGUAGAGAUCGGGAGGAACACCAGUGGUGAAGGUGGGUAACUGGACUGCAACUGACGCUGAGGCGCGAAAGUGUGGGGAGCAAACAGGAUUAGAUACCCUGGUAGUCCACACUGUAAACGAUGAGUGCUAGGUGUAGGAGGUAUCGACCCCUUCUGUGCCGGAGGAAACGCAAUAAGCACUCCGCCUGGGGAGUACGGUCGCAAGAUUAAAACUCAAAGGAAUUGACGGGG
rnacentral:rRNA from 1 species